rnacentral:snoRNA from 1 species
UGCAAACAGGUGCAAAAAUAAAUCCUCUUUUGCAACCCAGAACUCAUUGGUGUAUGAGUUUUGGUACGUGUAAGAAGGAACAUC